CUCUCACUACGUGGGGCUGCGAAGUCAGUGAGACCAGGAUGCCACCAGAGAGGAACAAACAGCUCUGCACAUGCUGCCUUUAAGAGUUGUAACACUCAUUGCCAAGGUCUGCCUCUUCACUCCUGAAGUCAGUGAGACCAGGAACCCACCAGAAGGAAGAAACUCUGGAGACAUUUGAAUAUUAGAAAGAACGGGCUCCGGAUACACUAUCUUUAAGAACUGUAACACUCACCCUGAGAGUCCAUGGCUUCAUUCUUUUAAGUCAGCGAGAUGAAGAAUCCACCGGAAAGAAAAAAUUCCAGACGCGGCACCACUACAUUCCAGCCUGGCGACAGAGUGAGAGGUCUUGUUCUGUCGCCCAGGGUGGAGUGCACUGGAGCAAUCACAGCUCACUGCAGUCUGGACCUCCUGGGUUCAAGCGAUCCUCCUGCCUCAGCUUCACAAAGUGUUGGGAUUACAGGUGUAAGCCAACGUGCCUGGCCUCAAAACUUUUUUGCACCAAAAUAAACUCAUACUAACUUGUUAUAACCUAUCUUAACUGGAGCUAGUUUGAGACACUAAGAAGGAUAAGACAUCAAUUUGAAAAGAGCCCCUAUCAGAGCAACAGGAAUUCUGCUAAAAUUGAAGCAAGAACAAAAAUUAAAUUAAUGGCGAAGCUGGGGUGAGAGAAUGAUAAAAUCAUGAAUCCUUUAUGAAAAGCUUAUGGGAACAAUGCCCUAAAAAAAUCAUCAGUUUACAAAUGGAUACCUUGUUUUAAAAAUGAAUGAGAAGAUGUUGAAGAUGAAGCCCACAGCAGCAGGACAUCCACAUCAGUUUGCAAGGAAAAAAUCUUGUUUGUGCCCUAAUUGAAGAGGACCAAUGACUAAAGAGCACAAGCAAUACCCAGCACCAUAAAUGUCUUAACUGGUUCAGUUUAGACAAUUCUGACUGAAAAAUUAAAGUUGAACAAACUUUCCACUCAAUGGGUGCCAAAACUGUUGUUAUCUGCAGAUAAGAGCAGAGUUUAUAAUGGAAAUUUUUAAAAAGUAGAAUCAAGAUCUUGAAGCGUUUUUUCAACGAAUUGUAACAGAGGAUGAAACAUGGUUUUACCACUAUGAUCCUGAAGACAAAGCACAAUCAAAGCAAUGGCCACCAAGAGGUGGAAGGAGUUCAAUCAAAGCAAAAUGAACUGGUCAAGAGCAAAGGUCAUGGCAACAGUGUUUUGGGAUGGACAGGGCAUUUUGCUUGUUGACUUUCUGGAGGGCCAAAGAAUGAUAACUUUUUUUUUUUUUUUUUUUUUGAGACAGGGUCUCAUUUUGUCAUCUGGGCUGAAGUGCAGUGGCACAAUCUCGGCUCACUGCAACCUCUGCCUCCCAGGCUCAAGCAAUCCUCCCAUCUCAGUCCCCAAGUAGCUGAGAACACAGGUGUGCACCAUCACACCUGACUAAUUUUUUUUUAAUUUUUUUGUAGAGACAGAGUCUUGCCAUGUUGCCCCGGCUGGUCUUAAACUCCUGGGCUCAAGCGAUCCUCCUGCCUUGAUAACAUCUGCUUAUUAUGAGAGUGCUUUGAGAAAGUCAAAGCUUUAGCAGAAAAAUGCCCAGGAAAGCUUCAACAGAGAGUUGUUCUCUACCACAACAAUGCUCCUGCUCAUUCCUCUGAUCAAACAAAGGCAAUUUUGCAAGAGUUUCCAUGGGAAAUCAUUUUUGCCCACAUUUUAGACUAAUCCUGCUUGUUCCUGUGAACCAACCAGUGAUCUCCCACUGCAGCUCAGAAGAAAGAGAAGGGAUGGAGGCCAUCAAACUCCAAAUGAUCAUGUAACCGGAGCCUUGGACAAUUGCUCCCUUUCACUGGGGACCCUUAGACCUCUGAGGGAGAUCUGACUGCCGUUUUCGCAAAACAGCACUCACUGUCAGCAGGAAGCAGUUAAGAGAUGGAGGUCUCACUAUGUUGCCCAGGCUGGAUUUGAUCCUGCAGCUUCACCCUCCUGAGUAGCUGAGACUACAAACGUGCACCAACACCAUGCCCAGCUGAUUUUUGAAUAUUGAGCCAGCCUUGCAUUUUUGUCAUGAACCAGAGCCUUCCAAGGUCAGCACCAAGAAUACAGAAAGCAGAAUCUCUAGGUGGGAUGAUAUGUCUCUAAAAUUGGAUUAACAAGAUUUAGAGGCUACUCUGACUGAAGGUGAAGGAAGAGGAAGUCGUCAUUGCAUUAUUGUUUUCUGUAUUAUGAUGUUCCAGUAUACUGUGCUAUUUUUAAGCACUGAAAUUCAGGAAAAAGGCUGGGCCAGGCACAGUGGCUCAUGCCUGUAAUCCCAGCACUUUGGAAGGCCAAGGUGAAUCACUUCAGGCCAGGAGUUCAAGACCAGCCUGGCCAACACGGCAAAAACCACAUCUCCACUAAAACUACAAACUAGGCACUCCAGCCUAGGUGACAGUCUCAAAAACAAACAACCAAAACAAACAAAAAAAUUGAAAAAAAUUAAGACAGAAACAAUAAUAUAAUUUUGCUUCAGUAUAGCAAUUACUCAAAGAGAAAUCAAAAAUGGUUUUAUGGGCCAGGUGCAGUGGUUCAUGCCUGUAAUCCUAGCACUUUGGGAGGCCAA